UAGUCCACGCCGUAAACGAUGGAUACUAGCUGUCCGAGGCCUUGAGUCUUGGGCGGCCAAGCGAAAGUGAUAAGUAUCCCACCUGGGGAGUACGUUCGCAAGAAUGAAACUCAAAGGAAUUGACGGGGGCCCGCACAAGCGGUGGAGCAUGUGGUUUAAUUCGAUGAUACGCGAGGAACCUUACCAGGGCUUAAAUGCAUAUUGACAGGGCCAGAGAUGGCUUUUUCUUCGGACAAUUCACAAGGUGCUGCAUGGUUGUCGUCAGCUCGUGCCGUGAGGUGUCAGGUUAAGUCCUAUAACGAGCGCAACCCCUGUUGUUAGCUACCAGCACGUAAAGGUGGGGACUCUAGCAAGACUGCCGGUGCAAACCGCGAGGAAGGUGGGGAUGACGUCAAAUCAUCACGGCCCUUACGUCCUGGGCUACACACGUGCUACAAUGGUAGGUACAGAGGGCAGCCACUACGCAAGUAGGCGCGAAUCUAUAAAACCUAUCUCAGUUCGGAUC
rnacentral:rRNA from 1 species